GAUCUAGGUCUGCAGUUUGAACCUUACUUUUGAGGUGAGGAAGCUGAACUAGGGUCUAGUUCUGAUCCCAGUCCAGCAUUGGAACCACCUCUGGUGCCUUUUCUUCGGAGUCAGCUUGUCAUUUAGAUCCUGGUGUGCAGCCGAGAACUGCUCUGGACCCCGGGGGGCAGCUCUCCAGCUGAAUCCGUGUCCAGGAACAGAACCAAAUUUUCAGUCGAUUCCUGGGGCGGGGCUGACAUCUGGGAGGAAGCAGACGACGCGACGCCACGUAAUCAAAGCCCUCCAGGUCAGCAGAGGGAGUAGACGCAUGGGGAGAUUCCCAUGGGAGAUGGGAGGAGCAGGAAGACUAGGGCUCAGUAGGCCCCGGGGGUUAGAGGUCAGCUGGAGCGGGUCUUUGACCCACUCCAGAGGCUGAGCCUCCUGGACUAGUAGCCACAAUAGUUGCCACGUGAGGAAGGGCCUUGGGCCCCAGAGACACAGCUGGGACAUGACACACGCUGGCGCUGUGCAGUGAGUGGGAGCCAUUCUAACAGCCUGGAGAGGCUCGCACCCGCGAUAAGCGUGCGCCCCGCCCAGUCUUUAUGACAUCUUUAUGCCACCUUUAUUAGGCUUGGGUCCAGAUCUGCUCCAUGUCUCCAUGGCAAUCUUAUGUCACAAUCCCGCCCAAGCUCCCCUUUCCCCCCUCCCCUCUCCUCCCCUUAGCGAGGAGGCUGAACUGUCAUCCUGCCUUGACUUAACACAGCC
rnacentral:lncRNA from 1 species